UGAAGGGACUGCUUUCUUGUUUUGGCAAUUGCUGUGGUAAUAGAUCCAAGAUUUAAGAUGACGCUUAUUGAGUUCAGUUUUUUUAGGAUCUUUGGAGAGGAUGCUGGUAUGUGGAUCAAGAUUGUUGAUGAUGGGAUUCAUGAACUCUUUCUUGAAUAUCUCGCACCAAAUCUUUCUUUAUUGACUUCUUUUAUGGAAGCAGAGGAUAUGGGUAUCUCCCGAUCAGAGAUUCUUCAAGAGGUACCUCCUCAAGAAUAAGCACCCCAGGAAGCAUGCUUUGAAGAAGUACCCCUUCAUGUGGUGCACUCUGUGGAUGUGCCUUCCCAGGAACAGUCCCAAGGAGCAGCCCUUAAAGAUGUAAAGCCUGAAGUGGUUGCUCCCUAAGUGCACCCUAAAGAAGAAUCUCCACUAGAUGCAUCAUCUCACACUCAAGAAGCACCAGGGCCGGAGGUGCAGGAGAUGCACACUCAGGAAGAGACCGGGCAGGAGGUGCACACUCUGGAAGAAUGGGUGCAGGAGGUGGACACUCGGGAAGAAUUGGUGCAGGAGGUGCACACUCAGGAAGCACCAGUGCAGGAGAUGCAGACUCAAGAAGUACCAGUACAACAAGAAGUACCAUUGCAAGAUGCAGACACUCAAGUACCUGCUGAAGAAGUCUCUGCUCAAGAGACACACACACUCAAGCGGUGUCUGCUGAAGAGAUGAAUGCUCAAGAAGUGUCUGCACAAGAGAUGCACACUCAAGAAGUAUCACCUCAAGAAUGCAAGUUGAAGACCUUUCUCAAGUGAUGCAUUCUCAAGAAGUACCAGCCCAAGAGAUGCACCCUCCAGAAAUGGUGGCCGAAGUGCACAGUCAAGAGCUGAUGUCUCAAGAGAUGCACAUGUCAGAAUCACACACACAGCAGCACCCUCCAGAAUCACAGACCCACGAGAUGCACCUUCCAGAAUCACAGGCCCAGGAGAUGCACCUUCCAGAAUCACAGGCCCAGGAGAUGCACCCUCCAGAAUUACAGGCCCUGGAGAUGCACCCUCCAGAAUCACAGACCCAGGAGAUAAACACUACAGAUCCACAACCCCAGGCAAUGCACCUUCAAGAAGCACAAACCCAUGAGAUGCACUCUCAGGAUGCCCAGAAUCAUGAUGUACACUCUCAAGAAGUACAGACUAAUGAUUUUCACUCUCAAGAAUUACAGGAUCAUGGAAUGCACAUUCAAGAAACAGAGAUUCACAGUAUUCACUCUCAAGAAGCACAGACCCAUGAGAGCCUUCGUCAAGAAGCAAUGAGUCAAGAGAUGCACCAGCAAGAGUUUUCCCAAGAGAUGCACCAGCAAGAGUUUUCCCAAGAGAUGCACCAUCACGCUCUCUCUCAAGAGAUACAGCCUUGUGAAGGGCACCAUCAAGAUUUACCUCCGGUAUCUAUUGGAGAUGGGCUUUCAGAUUUUGGUGUGUAUAUCUCCGAGAUUUCAAAUAGCCAACACAUGAAAUCAGAAUUGGAUCAGUAUCUGGAGGAGUCUCUUUUGCCUAGGGUACAAGAGUUUGUUGUGUUGGGUUGGUGGCAACUAAACAAACUGAAGUAUCCAACUCUAUCCAAGAUGACUGCUGAUAUUUUGUUAAUACCAAUUUCUACUGUUGAUCCUGAUUCUGUAUUUGACACUGGAAAUAAAAAGAUAGACAGCUACGGCUGUUCAUUGCGACCUGUGACACUUGAAGCCCUUGUUUGUGCUAAAGAUUGGCUCCAAUAUGCACCAUCUGCAUUGUCAAUGGAGACUUCUAAUGCAAUUGUUAAAAUGGAAUAUUAGGUUUGUAAGAACCGAUUCUCAUCCUACGGGGUAGAUACUUUGACUUGCUUUUCUAGGCUUGUGAUUUUAGUUUUGUAUUUUUCAUUUCUACUGUUAUUAUGAGAUGCUACUAUUAGGAUUUUGUUUUGCUGCUGGAGGAAUUGUGUCGAUAUUUGGAUUCAGGAAUCACUGUGACUACAUUUUUUUGUAUGGAGUUCUGAUAUGCAGCUUUCUCCCGUUGUUGGGCGUUAUUUCCCUCGUAUAUGGAGUUCUGAAUUAAUUUUUUUAUUAUAAUUUUAAUGCAUA
rnacentral:lncRNA from 1 species